UCUGAGAGUUUGAUCCUGGCUCAGAACGAACGCUGGCGGAAGGCUUAACACAUGCAAGUCGAGCGGUAACAGGGGGAGCUUGCUCCCCGCUGACGAGCGGCGGACGGGUGAGUAAUGCAUAGGAAACUGCCCAGUAGUGGGGGAUAGCCCGGGGAAACCCGGAUUAAUACCGCAUACGCCCUUUGGGGGAAAGCAGGGGAUCUUCGGACCUUGCGCUAUUGGAUGUGCCUAUGUCGGAUUAGCUAGUUGGUGGGGUAAGAGCCUACCAAGGCGACGAUCCGUAGCUGGUCUGAGAGGAUGAUC
rnacentral:rRNA from 14 species